CAAAGGCUUGGUCCUGACUUUACUGUCAACUUUAGCUAGAUUUACACAUGCAAGUCUCCGCACCCCAGUGAGAAUGCCCCAUAGUUCCUCCCCCCAAAAAGGAACAAGGAGCGGGUAUCAGGCACGCAUCUGUAGCCCACCACACCUUGCUUAGCCACACCCCUAAGGGACCGCAGCAGUGAUAAACAUUAAGCAAUAAGUGAAAACUUGACUUAGUCAAAGCUAAGAGGGCCGGUUAAACUCGUGCCAGCCACCGCGGUUAUACGAGAGGCCCCAGCUGACAGACCCCCGGCGUAAAGGGUGGUUAAUAGUUGAACAAACUAAAGCCGAAUUUUUUCAAAACUGUUAUACGCUCUUGAAAAAUAGAAGUCCGCCUACGAAAGUGGCUUUAUAACAUUGAACCCACGAAAGCUAAGAAACAAACUGGGAUUAGAUACCCCACUAUGCUUAGCCUUAAACCUAGACAAACCUUAUACUUGCUCUGUCCGCCCGGGAACUACAAGCACUAGCUUAAAACCCAAAGGACUUGGCGGUGCUUAAUACCCCCCUAGAGGAGCCUGUUCUAGAACCGAUAACCCUCGUUCAACCUCACCCUUUUUUGCCUCUCCCGCCUAUAUACCGCCGUCGUCAGCUUACCCUGUGAAGGCCAAAUAGUAAGCACAAUCAGUACAACUCAAAACGUCAGGUCGAGGUGUAGCAAAUAAAAGGGGAAGAAAUGGGCUACAUUUCCUGCCCCAGGAAACACGAAAAAUUUGCUGAAACGCAUACUAGAAGGAGGAUUUAGCAGUAAGCAGAAAAUAGAGUGUUCUGCUGAAACAGGCCCUUAAGCGCGCACACACCGCCCGUCACUCUCCCCGAGCCACCACACACCCCAUUCAUAAUAAAUUAACCCGGAUAAAGGGGAGGCAAGUCGUAACAUGGUAAGUGUACCGGAAGGUGUACUUGGGUAAAC
rnacentral:ncRNA from 1 species